CCCCCCCGGCCCGACCCGAGGCCGUCCCCUCUCAUCCUACCUCCCAUACCCAGAGCAGAGGCCGCCCCCCACCUCACCACCACCUCCUCUCAGCUGUAGGGUCUCUCCUGGGCGCUGUGCUGUGCUGCAGACGGACCCAUCCCGUUCCCCCAUUGCUCCCCAUGAGGCCUGGGGGGGCGCUGGGCUGUGGGUGAAUGGCGUUGUCUCUGGCAGCACAUACAGCAAGAUCAAAUGCCAAAUCUUUGGUGUUUGUGAGGAACAAAUGCCCAACAGCCAUCCCAUGGUAUGUCAGUGCUUUGUCUGACUGUAGUGUGAAGGUGUUGCUCAGGACCAGGGACACGUGGAGCUAUCGGUAAGGCUGUGAUUUCUUCUCCUCUGAAUUUGUACAGAGGGAUGAAGGGUGACCUCAUUGCAGCCUUCCAGGACCUACAGGGAGCCUCCAAACAGGAGGGGAGGCAACUGGGGAGUUGCUCUUUACAAAGUGGUCUGCAGGGCACUGCUGCCUUCAUGUCACUUGAACACAAAGCUGAUGGAAAGGGGAAUGCCUAAAGAUCAAAAGCCAAAUCUUUGGUGUUUGUGAGGAAAAAAAAUGCCCAGCAGCCGUCCUGCAGCACAUCAGUGCUUUGUCUGACUGCAGUGUGAAGGUGUUGCUCGGGACCAGGGACACUUGGACUGGUUGUUUGUUUAUUUCCAGGAAGUUUGAAGGUCGGCAUUACUUGGUAGAUGGUGGAUGAGGGCCCCAGAGCAGAGCAGCACCAUGAGUUUUGUCCCCGAGAAGUUUGCACCAGGGCUGCAGUUGCUUCUGUUGCAAUCCCUGCUGGAGCAGCUGUCCCUUCCUGAAGGGGGGGAGGAAGAACUCUGGUAUUCUCUCCACGUCAGAAGACCACGCCUGCAUUCCCAAGUGUUGUCCUCCACCACCCAGUAUCUGAGGGAUCACAUCAGCAAUUCCCAACCAGCCCAUAGCAAUGUGGUAAGGAGGGGCUUUAUUUUCAUCACCUGUGACUUCGGGCUGAAGCUCCCCAGGAAGGAUUGUUUAGAGAGGAGCAGCACCUUGAAGGAACAUCCAGACACAGCCUUCCUGCUUCCUGACCUCAGCACAGGGAUGCUGAUCUCUGCAAUGCCCUGUCCUUGUCCCCAGGCUCCUCCAGCCCCUUCUUCCAGCCCAGCCCUUCUCACUUGCAGCUCAGCAGUGGUGAGUUAAAAGAAAACUGUGGCAAAUUAAUCUGAAAAGGGAGAGCAGCCUUUGCAGUAGCUGAGGAAUACCUCUCUUAUCUGCACUGUCUGAGGCUGCAGAGCCACUGGGAAUUCAGAUUGGUCUUCACGUCUGAUGCGCUGCUGGGAAAUGCAUUCUGGAUGUUGAGUUUAAACAUGUCUCCAGAGGCAGCACUUGGCUGGCUGGGUGCCUGCUGCACUGCUUCCCAGCUACAUCACUUGGGUCUGGAUUUAAUACCGAGUACAUUCUACUGGUUCCUUUUUAUAGCAGCUGGCAAUAAACACAUCAUGUUACGGCUUUAUUUUGGCUACAGAUUAAUUGUAGAGAAUGUAAUUGCUUCCCCAUUUGAAGCCAGGGGGAAGCCCACAGAGUAGGUCAUCAGCUUCUUGGAGCAUCACCUGGGAGAUGGUCUUUAACAUUUGUUUGUUUUUCUAUAAGUAGGUGAGGAUUAAAAAUCAAAAGCAUCCUGCAACAACUACUCCUCUACCUAGGAAAGCACCAAGUCACUCCUGGUUCUACCGCUGUGAUGAGCAAAGGAAACCUUGAGGGAUAGGUUGGGACUUGUUACACUUACCACUGCUCCCUUCCUCUUUUAGCUAGUAGGCAAUUAUCAGAUCCGAUCAACAGAAACAGACCUUUCCCAGAGCACAGCUCUUGUGCAGUGUUCUGCAGGUUUGGCCAACUGCACGCCUUCGGUGCUUCAGAUCCAUCUCACGGUGUUCAGUGUGGCACUCGUGAAUCUUCACUGGGCCCUUCACUGUCCAGGAGGGGACAAUGGGCUGAGCUCUUCCAUCGAGCCUGCAGUCCCCAUUACACCGCUUUCACUCCCAGCAGCUAUUCAGUUCCUGAGUUCUAUAGUUCCUGCAUUUACUGCCUCCCAUGCAUGGGCUGUUCUCCCUCUCUGAUGCAUAGAAAUGUUGAGCUAAACUAUGAGUUGGCAGCUUGGAAGCUUUUCUUUCAGGUACAAUCUCUGCUUCCUAAGCAGGUUUUUGAGGAUGUGUCUAUUGCAGCUUUCAGCACAUCAGUGACAAUCACAGCCAACCUCAUGGUCACUGAGAACUUCAGUUUGCUGCUUGGCCUCUUUGCCUGGAAACAACAGGAUCUUUGUUUGAGAAUGGAGCAAACAAGAUGUGACACUGUGGAGGCUUUUCAGCUUAAAGGGACCACUUCCAUCCCGGAACGCCGGUCUCAUCCCAGCUCUGCAGGCAGCCACAGCACGUGGGCCUUUUUGGAAAUGCACCUGAAGACCGUUCUGGGAUCCUUCCAUCCCACGCUUCCUGGCAGGCUGCUCCAGAGCCUUCCUCCUGAGGUUGUGAGUGCUGACUUCUAAACGCUGGGAUGUUCCCACUCGUCUCCACAGCAGUACCCCUCACACUCAGAAAGGUGGUGCUCUUGCAUAUUUUUACUCUUUUUUCUUCCUUCCUUUGUAAGGCUAAAUCAGUAAAGCUCCUCAAGCCUAAUGAAACAGCAGGUUUUUACUCUUUGCAGUACUCUUAAGAAGUGAUAAAUAUUGCCUGGAUUUAAACGUUACUGCCAGUCACGUUUGUUGUUGCAGUGAUCUCAAGCUCGUGUUGUCUCUGACAGCUGAAGGACAGCAGAGCUCCAGGAACUGAAGCCUUUCAGUCAAGUGAACUCUAAAGUAAGAAAACAAUCGUAUUGGUUUGUCUCAAUCAUCUGUGGCCAUUCUGAGAACGUGCAAAUGGCUCAUUAGCAGUUGUAGUGCUUACAGCAGUUAUUAAAUUCUGCUGGGCCAGUAGGCAAAGUCAAACUGUGUUGCAGUUGCAGAUGAAGUUGGUGCAAAGCAGCAGGGAUGAGGGCUGCAGUGGUGUGUCAGCUGUGGGUCACCACUGCGAGCUGCCUGCACAACAAAGCCUGUAAUUUAAUGCCCUUGGCAGUUAUUUGUGCAUCAGUAUCUCAUGAUGCAGGCUGACAAAAACAUUUCCAAUUCAGAACAUAAGAAAAAGUAUAAAAAUGGGAGUGAUACCACAUGUCUGUGCUGGUUCCCAGUCACUCUGAAUGGGUUAGAUGGUGCUUAUCUCAAUUUCAGAACAGUAAGCUUGGCCUGCAGGGUGGAUUUCAUGCUCUAAGUAUGCAGACAAAACUCUUCCUGGUUGGAGGAUAAUUCUGAUGAGUUCUCGAGUCACCAAUCCAAGAAUGGAGGUGUGGAAGGAGCCCAAGGGGAGCAGCUGCUUCCAUCAGUGAGGGAGCAGGUACUGAUCUCAUGAGCAGACACAGAAUCACACAGAAUCAUAGAGUCAUAGAGUGGCUUGGGUUGGAAGGGACCUCAAGGACCAUGGAGCUCCAACCCCCCACCACAGGCAGGGCCACCAACCUCCCCAUUUCAUAGCAGCCCAGGCUGCCCAGGGCCCCAUCCAACCUGGCCUUCAACACCUCCACG
ensembl:lncRNA